GGAAGAGCAGCUUGAGGGCUAGGUUCAGUCAUGUGGCAAUAAUUACUCACUGACUCAACUAUGUGCACUUGAGGAAGUCCCUGCAGAUUCAGAAUCACCUUCUGAGGAACAGGCUUGUCCUGAGCCCCCAGUUGAGAAGGUCCUAUGCUGCUGUGGAUGGAAACAUCAAGUUCUUGUUCAGACUGUGGAAUCCAACCCUUAGCCUCCUUUCUAAAUGAGCAGGAGCCCUGGGAGCUGCAAACAGACUGGGCACUGUGUCCAAGAAACCAGCUAACGUGGGCUGCAGUACAUGGAGGACAGCAGCUGGGAGCUGACUAAGGAGGACUCUGUGACUGGACUGCUUAGAUGGGCCCAGGAUCAGAAUUCAAGUCACUUUUGUUAAGGAGACCCUGGACUCUUUCUGACCAAGAAACAAGUCCAUGAUGGAGAAAGCAAGCAAGCUUACCAGUGUGUAUCUGCUUUGGAUGAUGGGCUGUAAAAAUAAACCAGCCAAUGGAAAGUUGGGAUGAGAAGUCUGAUCAUACGUGCUUUGGAGAGCCAUUUCAAAUGAACCUGCACUAAAUAAGACAGUUUAAAGUAAUGACCUUGGAAAUGAAAAGGAGAUGCUGGAAAGGAAAUGUUAGCUUCCUGUGAAAAACACAUUUGAUUUUCCUGGACUGGGGCUUACAAUAAUAAAGAGCAACAGGCUCUUGGCAAAAGGCAGAACAGGAAAAGAACAAUGCGGUAAGAGAUUCAUUAACUGAUUAAAAGCACUUUACAUUACCAUUUGAUGAGAGAGCAAAUGAUUCAGACAAAACAAUAACUAGGUAUGAUAUUGUGAUGGAAAACAUCAGGUGUUAAAAAGAAUAAUGAUGGUGAAUAUCCCCAGCUGGUCUUAGAAGAAAAUGAGAAAGUUUUGGUGGCAAACUAUGAUUUCAGAUAUGGUUUAACUAUGUGUCGUGAUUUGAAUAUUAAAUAUCCUCCCAAAUCUCAUUAUGUUGAAGGCUUUGUGGCUGAUGGCACUAUUGAGUGGCAAGGGAAAGUUUAGGAGGAGGGGUCUAACUGGAGGAAGUCAUGUCACUGCGGCUUUCACAUAAAGCGGACGUUGGGACAAUGGCCUCUCCUUGCUCUUUCUGUUUCCCCAGCUCUGUGAGUUGACAGCUCUGCUCCACUAUGCACCAACUCCCAUAAUAUUCUGCCUCAUCACAGGCCCAAUGCGAUGGAGUAAGUGAAUAUGUACUGAGACACCUGAAACCAUGAGCCAAAAUAAAAUUUUGAAUACCAGAAAGACUGACACUCUGAAAGAAAAUAAAUCUAGUAAAUUCUUUCCUACUUAAAGAUAACAGAAGAAGCUUGAGGAAAAGAUACCUUCAUUGCACAGAACAUGAUUCAAUCCUAAUGUACAGAGAUAAUAAUUUGAAUGUACAAGGAUAAUAAAAAUGAUAAUAGCAUAUACUUAUUGAGCAUAUAACAUGUUUAAUCUCAUAAUACAUACUUGAAAUAAUUACAAAAAUUAACAUCUAUUGAGUGCUGACUACCUGCUGGGAAUUACUUGCUUUAAUCCUCUCACAGGCUUCUGAGCUCAUUCCCAUUUUACAGAAGAAACUAAGGGUUACAAAGGUUAACUAGUACAAGGUACAAAGCUAGUAAUAAAGAACUUGAAAGCCCAACCUACAUCUAUCUGACUCCAAAGACCAUUUGUUAACCCAGGGUCUUAAGAUUAAUGAAGGGAAACCACGCUGUUUUAAAGUCCUAUAACGGGCCGAGGAUUUAGCUCAGUGGUUCUGGCACCUGCCUCUAAAGCAAAAGAUCCUGAGUUCAAUCCCCGGUACCAAAAAGAAAGGAAAUAAAGUCCUAUAACAUAGUUCAGAAAGAGAAUUCUAAAAAAAAUCAGCACACAUGGUAAACUUUAGAAAAGUAGAUUUCAGGGCUGGGGAUGUAACUCAGUGGAAGAAUGUUUGCCUAGUAUGCACAAGGCCCCAGUACC